rnacentral:rRNA from 1 species
UGACACUAUCCUACUUGGAUAACUGUGGUAAUUCUAGAGCUAAUACAUGCAUUAAAGCUCUGACCUCACGGGAAGAGUGCACUUAUUAGACCAAAACCAAGCGGCUUCGGCUGUUUCUGGUUGACUCAUAGUAAUUGAGCUGAUCGCACGGUCUUGCACCGGCGACGUGUCUUUCAAGUAUCUGCCGUAUCAACUUUCGAUGGUAGUGUAUCUGACUACCAUGGUGAUCACGCGUAACGGAGAAUAAGGGUUCGACUCCGGAGAGUUCGCCUGAGAAAUCGCGAACACAUCUAAGGAAGGCAGCAGGCGCGAAAAUUACCCACUCUCAGCACGAGGAGGUAGUGACGAAAAAUAACGAGACCGUUCUCUUAUGAGGCCGGUCAUCGGAAUGGGUACAAUUUAAACCCUUUAACGAGUAUCUAUGAGAGGGCAAGUCUGGUGCCAGCAGCCGCGGUAAUUCCAGCUCUCAAAGUGCAUAGAAUUAUUGCUGCGGUUAAAAAGCUCGUAGUUGGAUCUGUGCCAUAGGACGGGGUCUACCUUCGGGUACGCACUUCGCUCCUAGGCUUUUUGCUGGUUUUCCCGUCGUAGCCUUCACUGGUUGCGGCGGGUGGCUGGCGAGUUUACUUUGAGAAAAUCAGAGUGCUCAACACAGGCGUAUAGCUUGAAUGAUUGUGCAUGGAAUAAUAGAAAAGGAUUUCGGUCCUCUUUUAUUGGUUUUGUGGACUGAGAUAAUGGUUAACAGGGACAAACGGGGGCAUUCGUAUCGCUGCGUGAGAGGUGAAAUUCUUGGACCGUAGCGAGACGCCCUACUGCGAAAGCAUUUGCCAAGAAUGUCUUCAUUAAUCAAGAACGAAAGUCAGAGGUUCGAAGG